rnacentral:sRNA from 2 species
CGUCUCCCCGUACCUAGAGCAUCAUCGGCAGGCCCGGGGGAACCACUUCUUCCGGUUCGGCGCCGCUCAUGCGGUUGGCCCGGACCUCGGGGUGAAGCCCGCACAGCGGGCCGGGCGUCUCCCGCCCGAACCCGACAGCUAACUCCGUCGGCUCACCAGGAGAUACCA